UACGGAGGGGGCUAGCGUUGUUCGGAAUUACUGGGCGUAAAGCGCGCGUAGGCGGCUUUGCAAGUCAGAGGUGAAAGCCCGGGGCUCAACCCCGGAAUUGCCUUUGAAACUGCAUCGCUAGAACGUCGGAGAGGUGAGUGGAAUUCCGAGUGUAGAGGUGAAAUUCGUAGAUAUUCGGAAGAACACCAGUGGCGAAGGCGGCUCACUGGCCCGGUACUGACGCUGAGGCGCGAAAGCGUGGGGAGCAAACAGG
rnacentral:rRNA from 1 species